GUAUAAGAGACAGCAGUAGCCGCGGUAAUACGAAGGGUGCAAGCGUUACUCGGAAUUACUGGGCGUAAAGCGUGCGUAGGUGGUGGUUUAAGUCCGUUGUGAAAGCCCUGGGCUCAACCUGGGAAUUGCAGUGGAUACUGGAUCACUAGAGUGUGGUAGAGGAUAGUGGAAUUUCCGGUGUAGCAGUGAAAUGCGUAGAGAUCGGAAGGAACAUCUGUGGCGAAGGCGACUAUCUGGGCCAACACUGACACUGAGGCACGAAAGCGCGGGGAGCAAACAGGAUUAGAGACCCCUGUAGUCCCUGUCUCUUAUAU
rnacentral:rRNA from 1 species